rnacentral:rRNA from 1 species
CCUACGGGUGGCAGCAGUGAGGAAUAUUGGUCAAUGGACGAGAGUCUGAACCAGCCAAGUAGCGUGAAGGAUGACUGCCCUAUGGGUUGUAAACUUCUUUUAUAUGGGAAUAAAAUGUUCCACGUGUGGGAUUUUGUAUGUACCUUAUGAAUAAGGAUCGGCUAACUCCGUGCCAGCAGCCGCGGUAAUACGGAGGAUCCGAGCGUUAUCCGGAUUUAUUGGGUUUAAAGGGAGCGUAGGUGGAUUGUUAAGUCAGUUGUGAAAGUUUGCGGCUCAACCGUAAAAUUGCAGUUGAAACUGGCAGUCUUGAGUACAGUAGAGGUGAGCGGAAUUCGUGGUGUAGCGGUGAAAUGCUUAGAUAUCACGAAGAACUCCGAUUGCGAAGGCAGUUCACUGGACUGCAACUGACACUGAGGCUCGAAAGUGUGGGUAUCAAACAGGAUUAGAUACCCUAGUAGUC